rnacentral:rRNA from 1 species
AGUAAUACAUCGGAACGUGUCUUCUAGUGGGGGAUAACUGCCCGAAAGGGCAGCUAAUACCGCAUGAGACCUGAGGGUGAAAGCGGGGGAUCGCAAGACCUCGCGCUGGAAGAGCGGCAGAUGUCCGAUUAGCUAGUUGGUGAGGUAAAGGCUCACCAAGGCGACGAUCGGUAGCUGGUCUGAGAGGACGACCAGCCACACUGGGACUGAGACACGGCCCUG